CGGGUGAGUAACGCGUGAGGAACCUGCCUCAAAGAGGGGGACAACAGUUGGAAACGACUGCUAAUACCGCAUAAGCCCACGGCUCGGCAUCGAGCAGAGGGAAAAGGAGUGAUCCGCUUUGAGAUGGCCUCGCGUCCGAUUAGCUAGUUUGUGAGGUAACGGCCCACCAAGGCGACGAUCGGUAGCCGGACUGAGAGGUUGAACGGCCACAUUGGGACUGAGAUACGGCCCAG
rnacentral:rRNA from 1 species